UGACCACCGAAGAUGCGUCUGUACUCCAAAAGCAGAGCACAGAAGACGUGGAGCCCACCGUUGAACUGCUCCCUGUUGAGUUUCAGGAAUUGAUGACAGUUAAAGAUGAAGAAAUUGACUUGGCCCAUGAGGAGGAUGAACAGCUGAAUUCUGCCCAGAGGUACAUGGGCAUGGACAUGAAGGUGGACCACUAUGGGAGCCUGGUAUUCUGGGAUUCGGAAUCUAUGCCUGCAGCUGAAGAAUUCCUUUCAAAGCAGAAAGUUUAUGAUGAAGAAUCGUACGAAAGAGAGCUGAUACUACA